UAGGGAAUAUUAGAAAUGGACGAAAGUCUGAUCUAGCAACACCGCGUGUGCGAAGAAGGCCUUCGGGUCGUAAAGCACUUUUUGGAAGGAAUAGGAAGGAAUGUACUUCCAGAAUAAGUCUCGGCUAACUACGUGCCAGCAGCCGCGGUAACACGUAGGAGGCAAACGUUAUCCGGAUUUACUGGGCGUAAAGCGCGUGUAGGUGGUUCUGUAAGUAGGGCGUGAAAGCUCCCGGCUCAACUGGGAGAUGCCGUUCUAAACUGCAGAGCUAGAGGAUGGUAGAGGGAGGUGGAGUUCCAGGUGUAGCGGUGGAAUGCGCAGAUAUCUGGAGGAACACCAGUGGCGGAGGCGGCCUCCUGGACCAUUCCUGACACUCAGACGCGAAAGCUAGGGUAGCA
rnacentral:rRNA from 1 species